UCAGGUAAACAAGACUACAAGAAGACCAAGUCAGCUCUGAAGUUGACGAAGUUGAAGGCUGAGGCGAAGAAGAGUGCUCCUGGAAUAAGGGAUGCUUUCCUGGUCAUCUUAGCCAUCCUGGUGUUCAUGCUCUGUGUGUAUGCGUUCUUCUACCUCAACCUGAGCACUGAACUGGACAUGGACCUGGAUGUGGACUAAAGCGGGAGAGGACAACUUAAACUCGGGCUCGGGGUCUUGCUGGGCUGGGCUAUUGUCAGUCUCUGUCAACGUGGCUCAUUGACUAUUGUCAGUCUCUGUCAACGUGGCUCAUUGGCUAUUGUCAGUCUCUGUCAACGUGGCUCAUUGACUAUUGUCAGUCUCUGUCAACGUGGCUCAUUGGCUAUUGUCAGUCUCUGUCAACGUGGCUCAUUGGCUAUUGUCAGUCUCUGUCAACGUGGCUCAUUGGCUAUUGUCAGUCUCUGUCAACGUGGCUCAUUGGCUAUUGUCAGUCUCUGUCAACGUGGCUCAUUGGCUAUUGUCAGUCUCUGUCAACGUGGCUCAUUGACUAUUGUCAGUCUCUGUCAACGUGGCUCAUUGACUAUUGUCAACGUGGCUCAUUGGCUCAUCUGGAUGCAAAUUUGAUUCAAUUUUUUUUUUUUGUCUGAUUCCGUUAAUUUUUUUUCCUCAUUUCUGUUUUCUCCAUUUUUUUCCCCCCUGUUUUUAUUUUAUUUGUGGGGGGCUUUGUCAUCUACCAAGGAGCCUGUUGACAUUAGCAUCAUCUCUAACAGCUACACAGAGACAAAUGCACAAACACAGACGGGGCAGUCCUGUUAAGCCUCUUCAGAAAUAUGAAUCACUGAUGCGUUUUUUUAUUUCAUGUCUUUAUAUUAAUGAAUGUUAUAAUAAAUAAAUAAAUAAAUGUUGUAAUAUUGUUGA